AUACGGAGGAUCCGAGCGUUAUCCGGAUUUAUUGGGUUUAAAGGGAGCGUAGGUGGACAGUUAAGUCAGUUGUGAAAGUUUGCGGCUCAACCGUAAAAUUGCAGUUGAUACUGGCUGUCUUGAGUACAGUAGAGGUGGGCGGAAUUCGUGGUGUAGCGGGGAAAUGCUUAGAUAUCACGAAGAACUCCGAUUGCGAAGGCAGCUCACUGGACUGCAACUGACACUGAUGCUCGAAAGUGUGGGUAUCAAACAGGAUUAGAUACCCUGGUAGUCCACACAGUAAACGAUGAAUACUCGCUGUUUGCGAUAUACAGUAAGCGGCCAAGCGAAAGCAUUAAGUAUCCCACCUGGGGAGUACGCCGGCAACGGUGAAACUCAAAUGAAUUGACGGGG
rnacentral:rRNA from 1 species